UACGUAGGGGGCUAGCGUUGUCCGGAAUCAUUGGGCGUAAAGAGCGUGUAGGCGGUCCGGUAAGUCCGCUGUGAAAGUCGGGGGCUCAACCCUCGAAUGCCGGUGGAUACUGUCGGGCUAGAGUGCGGGAGAGGAGAGUGGAAUUCCCGGUGUAGCGGUGAAAUGCGCAGAUAUCGGGAAGAACACCCGUGGCGAAAGCGGCUCUCUGGAACGGUACUGACGCUGAGACGCGAAAGCGUGGGGAGCGAACAGG
rnacentral:rRNA from 1 species